rnacentral:ncRNA from 2 species
GGCUAUGUUUGAGAAAGCGGCCCGGCACGAAGGCUUAAUAGGGAUACGGCAAAACCGUGGCUGUCCCCGCAAUUGUACGCAGGGAGUCCGCGCUCCACUGCCACUGGUUUCGACCGGGAAGGCCCGCGCGAAUCAUCACCUGCCAGCCAAGAGACCUGCCGACUCCAUCGCCUUCGC